rnacentral:rRNA from 1 species
AUUGAACGCUGGCGGCAGGCCUAACACAUGCAAGUCGAGCGGAUGAAGGGAGCUUGCUCCUGGAUUCAGCGGCGGACGGGUGAGUAAUGCCUAGGAAUCUGCCUGGUAGUGGGGGAUAACGUCCGGAAACGGGCGCUAAUACCGCAUACGUCCUGAGGGAGAAAGUGGGGGAUCCUCGGACCUCACGCUAUCAGAUGAGCCUAGGUCGGAUUAGCUAGUUGGUGGGGUAAAGGCCUACCAAGGCGACGAUCCGUAACUGGUCUGAGAGGAUGAUCAGUCACACUGGAACUGAGACACGGUCCAGACUCCUACGGGAGGCAGCAGUGGGGAAUAUUGGACAAUGGGCGAAAGCCUGAUCCAGCCAUGCCGCGUGUGUGAAGAAGGUCUUCGGAUUGUAAAGCACUUUAAGUUGGGAGGAAGGGCAGUAAGUUAAUACCUUGCUGUUUUGACGUUACCAACAGAAUAAGCACCGGCUAACUUCGUA